rnacentral:rRNA from 1 species
UACGUAGGGUGCGAGCGUUAAUCGGAAUUACUGGGCGUAAAGCGUGCGUAGGCGGUCCGCAAAGUCUGAUGUGAAAGCCCCGGGCUCAACCUGGGAACUGCAUUGGAAACUAACGGGCUCGAGUGUGGCAGAGGGGGGUGGAAUUCCACGUGUAGCAGUGAAAUGCGUAGAGAUGUGGAGGAACACCGAUGGCGAAGGCAGCCCCCUGGGCCAGCACUGACGCUCAUGCACGAAAGCGUGGGGAGCAAACAGG